CUCCAGAGCUGAGCAGAACUG
rnacentral:miRNA from 1 species